rnacentral:rRNA from 1 species
GACAGAGGAUGCAAGCGUUAUCCGGAAUGAUUGGGCGUAAAGCGUCUGUAGGUGGCUUUUUAAGUCCGCCGUCAAAUCCCAGGGCUCAACCCUGGACAGGCGGUGGAAACUACCAAGCUGGAGUACGGUAGGGGCAGAGGGAAUUUCCGGUGGAGCGGUGAAAUGCGUAGAUAUCAGGAGGAACACCAAUGGCGAAGGCAGCUCGCUGGGACGGUACUGACGCUGAGACGCGAAAGCGUGGGGAGCAAACAGG